rnacentral:rRNA from 1 species
GAUGAACGCUGACAGAAUGCUUAACACAUGCAGUCACUGAAUGUGGCGGACGGGUGAGUAACGCGUAAAGAACUUGCCUCACAGGUAGGGACAAAAUUAGGAAACGAAUGCUAAUACCUUAUAUUGUGGGAGAGAUUUGCGUCCCAUUAGCUAGUUGGAGUGGUAAAGGCUCACCAAGGCGAUGAUGGGUAGCCGGCGUGGGAGGGUGAUCGGCCACAAGGGGACUGGGAGACGGCCCUUACUCCUACGGGAGUCAGCAGUGGUGGAUAUGGGACAAUGGACCAAAGUCUGAUCCAGCAAUUCUGUGUGCACGAUGAAGUUUUCGGAAUGUAAAGUUCUUUCAGUUGAGAAGCGGUACCAACAGAAGAAGUGACGGCUAAAUACGUGCCAGCAGCCGCGGUAAUUC